UACGUAGGGUGCAAGCGUUAAUCGGAAUUACUGGGCGUAAAGCGUGCGCAGGCGGUUUUGUAAGUCUGUCGUGAAAUCCCCCGGGCUCAACCUGGGAAUUGCGAUGGAGACUGCAAGGCUAGAAUCUGGCAGAGGGGGGGUAGAAUUCCACGUGUAGCAGUGAAAUGCGUAGAGAUGUGGAGGAACACCGAUGGCGAAGGCAGCCCCCUGGGUCAAGAUUGACGCUCAUGCACGAAAGGCGUGGGGAGCAAACGAGG
rnacentral:rRNA from 1 species